ACAGAGAACAGAACAGGAUGAGG
rnacentral:piRNA from 1 species